GUGAGCUAUGCAAAAAAGUUGAGAAUAUAAAAGUUGAGACUUCUUUUACUAUACAGAGAGACUUUAUUGAACUGGGGAAUUUACGUGUUCCAAACAAUGCCGACUGGAUAGCCAAUAGGCAGCCUUCUUAAUCUCCAUUCGUUACAGUACAUACAAUAGUAAAAAGUGACAGGCUUGGAUAAAUGCUGUAAAGGACUGUAAAGGAAUGUAAAAUUCGUCCAGCUACAAUACAGGCAAUUGGUUAUAAUUUUCAUGAGCUUAGUAUUAAUAAGUCUACCAUUCAACGAACAGAAAGUCGGAAGAAAUGGGAAUAAAAGACGAUUUCAACAAUAUGCCAGAAAUUUUCAAACUUCAUUGAGAUGGAAAGCUUUUCCCAGUUCUAGAUGGUUGAAGCUGUAAGGAGAAACGUCUUCCAAUUGUAAUCACAUUUGAAAAUACAGAAGAACUCAUUGUUUUGCCACAACUGAAAAAUUCGACAAGAAAUGAACAAGAACGGGCUGUUUGGAAUUUAAUUCGAAAAUGGAAUCUUGAAGAUUGUGUAAAAAUUCUUUGUUUUGAUACAGUAGUAUCAGAUUUCCUCUGAUUGCAGUUUUCAAGCGAAACUGGAAAUAAUUAAGCAAGAGGCAACUUUCGGGAGGGAUAAUAAUAACUCUCCAUAGCGUUCCUAGGUGGCGAUAUUUGAUGAGAACGAAAAUUAGGCAUACUGGGGCGAUGCAUAAAGCUCGUUGGAUGACAGCAGCAAUUUCCACCUUAAAAAUUGCAAUUAAAAACUCUCAGCUCAAGUUUACUAAACAAAAAAAAAAAACAAAAAAAAACGCAUCUGUCUACGACCUGUAAUUUUUUCACAAUAUCUGCCUAAGUAAAUCCUAAGCUUCAAAGUUCCUCGGCUGUGAAAGCACCGUAUUUAUGCUUUUUAAAAUAUUGAUGAAGCUAUGUAUAUUUAAAGCAGCUCUAAAGAAAUUUUUGUCAUAAUUUGUACAUGUAAAAGAAUGGUGAUGCAUUUGACAGAAAACAAUAGAUCCAGUUUAGAACAACGAUAUGUACCAUCGAUGGAAGAUCUUAACGUUGCAAAUUUUAAUAAGUAAUAUUAAAGCCUUUUAGUAUUAACUCAAA
rnacentral:sRNA from 15 species